UCUUCAAUAUUUGGUAUUGUCAGUGUUCUGGAUUUGGGUCAUUCUAAUAGGGUGGGCCCUAAUCCAAUCUGUCAUUAUAAGAAGAGGAAAUUUGGACACAAAAAGAGACACCAGGGGCGUAUGUACACAGAGAAAAGAUCACGUGAGGACACAGAGAGGUCUGCAAACCAAGAAGAGAAGCCUCAGAAGAAACAAAACCAGCCAACCCCUUGAUCUUGGACUUGUAGCUUCCAGAAUUGUGAGGAAAUAAAUUUCUGUUUUAAAGCCACUCCAUUUUUGUUAUUUUGUUAUGGCAGCCCUAGCACACUAAUAGUGUUUUACCACAGGAGUCUCCAACUUAAAAUUUUUCAAAACCUUUUUCAACUUUUAAAAUCAGUCCCUUCAUCUUCCCUAUUUCCACCUCAUUAACAUUUAGUGCAUUUUUCCACACAGAGAAAAUGUUUUAGAGACGCUUCAUGCACUGUUAAAAAACAAAUAGAUGCUGAGGAAAGGUGGUUUAACAAAAUAGUUUCACAGUAAAAUAAAUGGGAUGAGGUAAAAUAACUGCCAGUUUUAACCAUAGACUAUUUCAAAGACUCCCUGAGUCCAGAUUAUUUCCAGAUACUGGAAUAGUCAGACUACGGACUGACUUGGAGGAACUGGAAGACACGGCAUCUAUUUUGAAGACGUGUUGCUUCCUGGAAGUUUUCGCAAUAUUUAUACUGCCCAGGAUGUAUCCAAGAAGCCAAACUUUGGGAGUACUAAACUCUCAAAGGAGAAAUCACCCAUCCUCUCAGGUUAAGCAUAUUGUCAAUCACUAAAACAAAAAUGAGAUGUUACUUAGUGAAAAUUUAUACCACCAAGAGAAGUCAAUGGCUCCAUGAUCAGUUUCAUUCCAAUGUUUGCUUACAAAGGACAAAGUG
rnacentral:lncRNA from 1 species